CCAUUACGACAGCCCUACAGCUUUAUCGCCGGGCGAGCACAGGUCUUAUCGUCUCUGAUAGGGCCUACUUUGAGCUGGCUCAUGGUGGUAUUGUUUCAAGCUUGCAGAGAGCCCGCUUGUGCACUUAUCAGCGGCCGCAUGGGACAGCGAGACAUGCAAUCGGCGUCGUUCAUAACUGGCGUGGCGUUCAUUUUUUUGUGGCUGCAGGCGAGCUACCUUUGCUGCUUUGCCUAUGGUUGCCACGAACCACCAGGUGGCUGUCCUCUACCGACGCCGGAAAAGAGAAUGCGACUGUUUUUCUUCGAACCCGUGUGGCAAGGGUGCGUGGACAUCGAAACUAGUGGCUGCGGAGCAUACGGCUGGCCGACGCUUUAUCACUGCAAAUUUUUUUGCAAGCACAUGCUGCAUGACCGCGUGAAUGGCUCAUAGGAACAAGCCUCGCAACUACCUCUUAUGUGCCUUAGAAUAGGACGAGCUUGACCUCUCCUGUAUUAUUAGUGUGGCCCGCAACAGUGCAGUUGCCAUGUUAUCGCAUUGAAUAAACUGUUCCAACAUGUAA